UGGGGAAUUUUGGACAAUGGGGGAAACCCUGCUCAAGCCAACCUGCGUGUUCGAUGAAGGCCUCCGGGUUGUAAAGCACUUUUGGCAGGAAAGAAACGUCAUGGGUUAAUACCCCGUGAAACUGACGGUACCUGCAGAAUAAGCACCGGCUAACUACGUGCCAGCAGCCGCGGUUAUACGUAGGGCGCAAGCGUUAAUCGGAAUUACUGGGCGUAAAGCGUGCGCAGGCGGUUCGGAAAGAAAGAUGUGAAAUCCCAGUGCUCAACUUUGGAGCUGCAUUUUUUGCUACCGUGCUAGGGUGUGUCAGAGGGAGGUGGAAUGCCGCGUGUAGCAGUGAAAUGCGUAGUUAUGCGGAGGAACACCGAUGACGAAGGCAGCCUCCUGGGGUAACACUGACGCUCAUGCAAGAAAGCGUGGGGAGCAAACAGG
rnacentral:rRNA from 1 species